AUACGGAGGUUGCGAGCGUUAAUCGGAAUUACUGGGCGUAAAGGGUGCGUAGGCGGCUUGAUAAGUCGGAUGUGAAAGCCCCGGGCUUAACCUGGGAAUUGCAUUCGAUACUGUCAGGCUAGAGUAUGUCAGAGGUUGGCGGAAUUCCUGGUGUAGCGGUGAAAUGCGUAGAUAUCAGGAGGAACACCAGUGGCGAAGGCGGCUAACUGGGGCAAUACUGACGCUGAGGCACGAAAGCGUGGGGAGCAAACAGGAUUAGAAACCCCAGUAGUCC
rnacentral:rRNA from 1 species